CAAAAACCAAUAGGCCCCAGUGAAAUAUCAUGGAGACAGAUCAAAGGAGAGUUUAGUGAGUUUUGCAAUGCAGCAUGUUAGAAGUACAGUGACAGAACUUUGGACAGGAAAUUUUGUCAACUCCAUACAAACUGCUUUUGCUGCUGGUAUUGGCUGGCUGAUCACUUUUUGUUCAAAAGGAGGAGAUUGUUUGACUUCACAGACACGACUCAGGCUUAGUGGCAUGUUGGUAAGCAUCAAUCAUUUUGUAAAACUAUAUCACCAUGUAAAGAAACACAUUUAGAAAUUGAUUUGAAACAUUUUCUUCCCUUAUUUCUUGAACAUUUAACUCACCUAUUUGUAAUCUUAUUUUCUGAUGACUGUAUUCAUAGCUAUGUGUUUUUUCCUGAAUAAUUAGUUACGUUCAAUAAAUUUUAACGUGGUA
rnacentral:lncRNA from 10 species